GGCCCGUUGGUCAAGUGGUUAAGACACGGCCCUUUCAAGGCUGUAACACGGGUUCGAAUCCCGUACGGGUCACCA
rnacentral:tRNA from 1 species